UGUAAUGGUACUCGCCACCCAUUUUCAAUAUUUUAACGCGUUUAAUUUUUAGGAGAAAUCUUAAUUAAAGAAAACAAGUUUGUAUUCUAACUGCUGCAACAUAAAGAAUUGGCAAAAUUUUUGAUUUAACAGAUACAGAAUGCAGAAAAAAAAGGAUAAAAAUGUGCACUUUUUCUUCACUUGCUCUUUGUAUUUGAUGUUUUUGUCUUA
ensembl:ncRNA F46C8.14 ncRNA